AAUAUUGGACAAUGGGCGUAAGCCUGAUCCAGCAAUGCCGCGUGAGUGAAGUAUACCCAAGGGUUGUAAAGCUCUUCCACCCGCGAAGAUGAUGACGGUAGCGGGAGAAGAAGCCUCGGUUAACUCCGUGUCAGUAGCCGCGGUAAUACGGAGGGGGCUAGCGUUGUUCGGUUUUACUGUGCGUAAAGGGCGCGUAGGCGGAUGUUCCCGUCAGAGGUGAAAGCCCCGGGGUCAACCUUGGAACUGCCUUUGAAACGGGACAUCUUGAGUUCGGGAGAGGGUAGCGGAAUUCCCAGUGUAGAGGUGAAAUUCGUAGAUAUUGGGAAGAACACCGGUGGCGAAGGCGGCUACCUGGCCCGAUACUGACGCUGAGGCGCGAAAGCGUGGGGAGCAAAC
rnacentral:rRNA from 1 species